GUCUACAGCCACGUUACCCUGAACAAGCCCGAUCUCGUCUGAUCUCGGAAGCUAAGCAGGGUCGGGCCUGGUUAGUACUUGUAUGGGAGACCACCUAGGAAGACCAGGUGCUGUAGGCA
rfam:Pteropus alecto contig81577, whole genome shotgun sequence.